rnacentral:tRNA from 1 species
UGCGGGGUAGAGCAGUCCGGUAGCUCGUCGGGCUCAUAACCCGGAGGUCGCAGGUUCAAAUCCUGCCCCCGCUA